UACGAAGGGGGCUAGCGUUGCUCGGAAUCACUGGGCGUAAAGCGCACGUAGGCGGGUCUUUAAGUCAGGGGGGAAAUCCUGGAGCUCAACUCCAGAACCGCCUUUGAUACUGAGGAUCUCGAGUCCGGGAGAGGUGAGUGGAACUCCGAGUGUAGAGGUGAAAUUCGUAGAUAUUCGGAAGAACACCAGUGGCGAAGGCGGCUCACUGGCCCGGUACUGACGCUGAGGUGCGAAAGCGUGGGGAGCAAACAGG
rnacentral:rRNA from 1 species